rnacentral:rRNA from 1 species
AGCGGAGGAAAAAGAAACUAAAUAGGAUUCUCUUAGUAAUGGCGAAUGAACAGAGAUCAGUUCAGAUUGAAAAUCGAGGGCUUGCCCUUGAGUUGUAAUCUUCUGUUCCAUUCCCAGCUGAGGCGGAGGCGUGAGUCUCUUGGAAAAGAGCUCCAUUGAGGGUGAAAGUCCCAUAUGUCACCUUUAGUUCCCAGUGUACGGGGUGCAUCUUAUGAGUCACACUCUUCGGGAUUGGAUUCCAAAUCGGGUGGUAAAUCUCAUCCAAAACUAAAUAUAGGUCUGAGACCGAUAGCAAAGAAGUACCGUGAGGGAAAGGUGAAAAGGACUUUGAGAAGAGGGUUAAAAGUGUUUGAAACUGCUGGAAGGGAAGCGAAUGGAACCUGUAUUCUUCGCAAGAUUGCCUUUUGUCUCGGUGUCAACUUUUCGACUGCAGCGCAAGCGUGGUUGAGGAUGUUGGUUGCUUGGAUGGAGGUGCAUCCUGCUUGGAUGCUCAGAGAUGCGUCGUUUUCAGUGAAAACUCUCUUCAUUUGCACCUUGUUCUUACGGGAAUGGGGAGGUGUCGAGCUGAAACUGAUGAUGGUGUUUCUUUGGGUAAAGGGUUUUAUUCGACCCGUCUUGAAACACGGACCAAGGAGUCUAGCACAUGU